rnacentral:rRNA from 1 species
AGCGAACGCUGGCGGCAGGCCUAACACAUGCAAGUCGAACGGAUCCUUCGGGAUUAGUGGCGGACGGGUGAGUAACACGUGGGAACGUGCCCUUUGGUUCGGAACAACUCAGGGAAACUUGAGCUAAUACCGGAUGUGCCCUUCGGGGGAAAGAUUUAUCGCCAUUGGAGCGGCCCGCGUCUGAUUAGCUAGUUGGUGAGGUAAAGGCUCACCAAGGCGACGAUCAGUAGCUGGUCUGAGAGGAUGAUCAGCCACAUUGGGACUGAGACACGGCCCAAACUCCUACGGGAGGCAGCAGUGGGGAGUCUUGCGCAAUGGGCGAAAGCCUGACGCAGCUAUGCCGCGUGAAUGAUGAAGGUCUUAGGAUUGUAAAAUUCUUUCACCGGGGACGAUAAUGACGGUACCCGGAGAAGAAGCCCCGGCUAACUUCGUGCCAGCAGCCGCAGUAACAC